UAAACCAUGCUGGAGAAGCAGGGCACAUGCUGGAUCAAUCAGCACCUGGAUCUGAGAUUUUACAUGUGCCCUGGCUCUCCCACUUGGAUCCUA